rnacentral:rRNA from 1 species
GGGCCCGCACAAGCAGCGGAGCGUGUGGUUUAAUUCGAUGUUACACGAAGAACCUUACCAGGGUUUGACAUGCAAGUGGUAGGAAGCCCGAAAGGUGACCGACCCUUCGGGGAGCUUGCACAGGUGCUGCAUGGCUGUCGUCAGCUCGUGUCGUGAGAUGUUCGGUUAAGUCCGCUAACGAGCGCAACCCUCGCUGUGUGUUAUAUGUGUCACACGGGACUGCCGGUCUUAAGCCGGAGGAAGGUGGGGAUGAUGUCAAGUCAGCAUGGCCUUUAUAUCCUGGGCUACACACACGCUACAAUGGCCAACACAAUAGGUUGCUAAGCCGCGAGGUGGCGCCAAUCCAUAAAGUUGGUCUCAGUUCAGAUUGUAGGCUGCAACCCGCCUGCAUGAAGAUGGAGUUGCUAGUAACCGCAGGUCAGCUAUACUGCGGUGAAUACGUUCCCGGGGCUU